rnacentral:rRNA from 1 species
GAUCCUGGCUCAGGAUGAACGCUAGCUACAGGCUUAACACAUGCAAGUCGAGGGGCAGCAUGACCUAGCAAUAGGUUGAUGGCGACCGGCGCACGGGUGAGAAACACGUAUCCAACCUACCGGUUAUUCCGGGAUAGCCUUUCGAAAGAAAGAUUAAUACCGGAUAGUAUAACGAGAAGGCAUCUUCUUGUUAUUAAAGAAUUUCGAUAACCGAUGGGGAUGAGUUCCAUUAGUUUGUUGGCGGGGUAACGGCCCACCAAG